CGCGAAGCCAAAAAAUGAAAAACGAUUUUUGUUCAGCGCGGGGGAAGUUAUCGCACCAAAUGGGCGAAUCCUCUUGGAGGAAGCCCGAGCGAUGAGAGCGACGAUCGAGGAUGCAGAUGCGCGAGGUUUAAUGCUUAUUCAAUCCAUUAUUUGCCGUGAGGAGAGGAUUCCGGUUCAGAAGAAUUGACACAUUGAUGCCUGGUUGACGGCGAAUGGCGGCAAACUUCGGAAUCGGCACUUCACAGAAACUUAUGGAGGUAUGAGUUUGAAAUUUGUUACUUCGAAGAGUCAAAUAGUCUUGUUUAAUAUUGUUUAGCGUUCGAGAAUUGACGGCGAUGCCAGUUAGCCAUAUGGGAAAUUGAGAAGUUUCAACUAAAUGCUAUGAGAUUGAAAUUUAUUGAUGUUCAUAUUUUUUGUUUGAACAUUGGCGGCUGUAGCUGUUUCUUACUGCAUCAUUGCCCUUGAAAUCCAAUAGGGGAGGAAUCAUCGUUCCAUUAUACU